GAAGUGCCUUCCCUCUCUAAGCCUGCUUUAUCCAAUCGUGUGGCUUGGAGAAAGCAGGCACUUAUGAGGACUACUAAGUACCUGCCUGCCUGCCUCCUAGGCUUACCAGUCUCCAGGUCCCCGUUUUGAAGGCUCCUUGCCUCAGCCAGCCAGCUGGCUGACUGGGGAAGCCCCAGCCCCAAUUGCCAAUAUGCCUUUCCACUUUGAAAAGCUAGAAGAAACUAGGAACUGGCUUGCUUUUUAGAAGAUACCUAACAGUAAACUGUUAACAGUCUUCUACUGGUUAAAUGAGUAUAUAUCUUCCCUUUGAUACAAGUGAAUUGUGCAGUUUAUCAGCUUGACAACAUAAUGAACAGGUAGAACAACAGAAAUGGAAGUAUGAUCACAGGAUGGAAAGAAUGAGUGUGGGAAGGAAGGAGCACAGGAAAGUAGCAAAGCAAAGUGGUAAAGUCAAGCUAUAUUUGCAUGUUGAGUGUGAGAACCAGAGAGAUAACGGCAAAUGCUACAAGGAAGAAAUAAAGUAGACUGGACUUCGAGAAAUGGUAACACACUUCCCAAAAGGGCAUUCCUAUUUCUCUUGAAAUUUCAUCCAUCAAGGAAGUGAAGAAAAAAGCCAGACUUUGGAAUCCAGCAAUUCCCAGCAGUGUGGCUCAUACAGCAGCAUUGUUGAUUUUGGUAUGCUGAAAGUGAAUUCUCUGACAAGGGAUGCUUUCUCUGUUCUCUCCUUAAUACUCCAGGGCAGUCUCAAAGACAAGUGAUGACAUGGAGCAUUAGAAUAUUUUUAAAUAACCAACUUUUGUGUACACUUAUCUACACAAUCACUUAUCCUAAGACAACAACCUUUUCCCUUGUUUCGGCCUUGGAUUUACUUUUCUCUGUAUCCCACCCUGCCCUGAAAGAGAGGAGGCAUGACAAAACAAAGGAACUACUUGCUUCCUUACUUUUCUACACCUGCAUAUUGCUUUUGCAAUCAUUGAGAGUGGAAAAUGUUUCUUUAUUUUUUUUUGUAUGUUAUCCUAGUAUGGCCAUCUAACUGGCAGGUUACUCAAGUAUUAUUAGAAUAAUGGCAGCUUCCAACCUGGAAACAGUGCCUGGAGACACAGCUCCCAGGCACUAAGUUGCCUCUUCCAUCUCCUCUCUAAUAGUAAUGAUCUAACUUGCUCUCCUCUUCUUUGCUUGCUAGAGUAAGGAAAGUCAGUUGUGCCCCACAGCAGGUGUGAGGUCAGGUGAGAUGACUGCUGCGUCACAGAAAUAGUUGCACUGUUGCUGCACUCUUUGCUGCAAAGUUCUUAAUAAAACAGCAUUUUCUCCAUGUCAUGAGCUGGCAA